rnacentral:misc_RNA from 1 species
CCAUACUAGAGAAUAAAACCUAUGAAAGCGCACCCAUAAUUUAAGGAACUAAACAAAGGAUUAAACACUCAAAUGGGACAGUUAAUAAAAUAAGCAUAUAUAAACAUCAAUAUUAUGCAAUUUACAUUUGAUGAUGAACGAGCUCAUUCUUCAUAGCUAUGCUUUUCUACAGUCUCAAUAACACUUCUGAGACCUAUUUAGCUCAAUCUGAGCCCCUGACAAGUAGCAAAAGGGUUUCGUUACCGUCUACCAAAAAAAAAAGUACCACAAAGUCUACGCUUUAUUCCAAUGCUAAAGGUUGGUAUUGGAAUGGCUAAUAGUAAAGAACCACAAAUUUCCUUCCACUAACUUUUAUGCAAAAUUUCAUUCAGAAAUCGGAAACCAUUCCACUAAAUGAUACAAAGCAAUGAAAUUGAGAAUGAAAUACAUUCAUAGCUAAACAAAUGCUGUGUAAAAUCAUUAGAGGUCAAUAGUUGGUGUUAGUCACGACGGAUCUUGAUCCAGUUUUGGUACUAUAGCUGAUGAGAGCUCUAUGUGUGAAACACGAACUGCACCGAUCAACCGCUCUGGCAAUUCAUCUGUGGUAUUUGCCUGUACAAGGAAAGCCAUAUCAACCACCAAUGUCGUAAUUACUCCAAUUACAAUCCCCAGAACUCCAUUAGCAACAGUUGAAGAACCAAUAUCAACAUCAACUUCUAAAUAUGUGGGACCACGGAUAUAGUUGCAAUCGACUGCUUUUCCCAAUAAACAAGGAGUGCUUCCAACACUCUGGCGCACAAUCCAUGAGCCCUUGGGAACUGAUGGAAUAAGUUUAAGCCUGCUAUUGCGGAAUUCAUCAUCACCAUCAACAAACCGUUGCAAGAGAGAACCAGGUAUUAAUUCCUUUGUCACAAAGUAAAAUACCAUACUAUAAUGUGUUGAACCAGGUACUUGCAGAUUAAAAACCAGAGAGAAAAGCCCUUUCUCCGAAGCAACUUGUGCAGAACAACCUUGACGCCUAGCAACGUGGUCCAUUCUUUUUGUGUCUUUGAACCAAUCAACAGCAACGAGAUCCAUUAAAUGUUUUCCAGCAGGGAUCUUUGUUUUGUCAUAACAAAAAUGCUUGCUACGAACUCGGAAGUUGUUCCCAUCAGAAAUUCGCCAGCAGUCACGGGCCUUAUCACGGUCAUCACGACGUAAAUUACCAGAGAAACAGGUUAAGUCAAUUUGUUCCACUGGUUCUUCUUCAAAGGCUGCUCUCUUCACAUCGUUCUCAUGCUUAGUUCGAUAUGCUUCUUGUUCUUCCUCAGCAAUUUGGAAUUCAUCCUCCUCAUCAGAGUAUUCAUCCAUAAUGGAGUUUCUGCUUGCAGCAUUCAUUUGAUCAAGAGAAGGCGCAGGAUGAACAGAGGACUCUUGCUGCUUUAGAUUUCUCUUUGAAGAAACAGAAGCUGAGGCCAUGUUGACCAUAACUGGAAUUCUAGGAGGAGCACCUCUUUCAUCCGUUUGGGCAAACCAUUCACGCAGUCCAGCAACACUAUUUAACAUCUGAAGAAGACAAUGCUGCUGAAAUGAUGAAAUAUAACCCACACCCCAUCCUUUUAGAUCAAUCUGCAUAAGAUGCUGCACCUGUGUUCUUGGUCUUCCAUUCCGAGGUUUUAGAGGAGAAAUGUUGAACCCUCCACUCUCAACAUGAGCCCGCACAUAACCUGGUUGUGGACCACAGUUCUCAUGCUCUCUAGAACGAAAUAGCACAACUGCACAAUAGCAAGAAAAUUUCUGAAGCUUACACUAAGAAGACGAAAAUCUAACAAGAAGUGUUUGCAAAACAAUCUACCAUAACUGCCAUCAUCAUUUCGCCGCCAAUAGCGCACAUAGCAAAGGUCACGGGGCCACACAAACAUUGAAAACCAGUCAAGCUGAAGUCUAUGAUAUAGGAUUGCUGUAUGCCCAUCUACCUCCUCAACUAAACUACCAUAUUGGAAACUGCUGUCCCACUCAAACCGUGUUCCAUCCAUGCUCAUUACAAGUUCAAAUAUUUCUUCACAGGUAGCCUCAACAACACCCACAGCCUUCAUUGCUCUGCUACAGCUCCUUGGAAGGUAAUCAACUUCAAGAAGCUCUUCAAAAAUGCGGAGUCCAUUUUGGCACUGUAGUAGACGCCAAUGCUUUCUAGAAAAUGCUUGAUUGUUGGCAUUCUGACUUGAUAAUUUUGAUUCAAAAUCUUGUGUCCAGUCCAAUACAGAGUCAGGAAGACCAUUUCCAAUUGUUGUUCUCCUCAACAAAUUGGGCUUAGCAUCAUCUUCAUCCUCCUGCGCACUGAACUGACUUUCAUGGUCUGAUGAGGAAGCAGUUCUGCCAUUAUCCAUCCCAGAUUUAUAUUCAAAUGAGACAUAUUUGUUACCAUUUGAAACUUGGGACUCCUGAUGCUGAUCAAUUACAAACUCAAUUUUUUCCUUCCACAUUAGUGCUUCCUGGAUGUUAAAUGCUGCCAUCGUGAUUCUAUGAUACUUUUCUUUCUUGUUGUAAACAGACAAAACAUAAACCAUAUGUCCAUGGUGAGUCUUCAAGCCUCGAUCCUCCACCCUACAAUUGCCAUCAAUCAACAUGGUCUUGAUUGGAACCUGAUUAUCUUGCGGUUUCUUCUUGUAGUAAGCAAGAAGUCUAGACUCCAGCACGAAAUACCUCAUAUGAAUGAACGAUCGCCCGAUCUUCCUCCUCCCAUACCUCACCAUCCACCCUUCGUAUAUCACCUUCGACAUUUUUGUUCCCUCGAAAUCGAAUUCAAGAAGCCAAACAGAAAUUUAAAAAAAAAAAAAAAUUCAAUCUCGCAGAGGUGGAAGCUCAGAUAAGAGUCUUUGCUUCCUGCGAGAUCAGCGUAAACCUAAGUGACUUGAUCGCUCAUCGCUAGAAUUGAAAUCCGCGUAAAAGAGAAUCCAUGAUUUGAAUUCCUAUUUCUUUGAUAAAAUACAUUUAAUUCUCAACCCCCGUUUCCACAUCGCGAUGAUUCCAAACACGGAAAUUUGACUUUAUACCAAGAAAAUAAAAAGGAAAAAAAUAAAAGAUAGAAAGAGAAUUCAAAAAAUAAAUAAUUAAUUAAAAAAUAAAAUUACUAUGGGAGAAGAGAAUUUCAAAGAGAGUCAAACAGAGAAGAUUUUGGAGACAGCUACUGCGACUGCGUGGGCGAGUGGGUGCCAAAAUUUGCCGGGAUCGGGGAAAGAUGAGAGAAAAACGACGACGUAUUAAGCGAAAUGUUGUGACAGAAUGAUCUGAUUAACCGACGGCGGGAUUUCGAGGCUAGAUUCUGAAUGACGGAUGAAGAGAUCCCACAUAAGGGAAAAGCAGAGCAAAAAGUUGCCACGUGGAGGAUUUUAAUUGAUAAUAGUUUUAUAUGGUGUCGUAGCGCCGUGGUGGUUUUAAAAUUUUUUGAAAAAG